UUGUCAUCAAAGACUCUCUUUAACACUCACAAUCCCUUCUCCACUUUCUAGGGUUUUAGUGGACUUCUACGUUUGAAAUACUGUUUGUGAUUCCGUGAUUUGUUACUUAUUAAUGGUUUUGAGAAAGAAGGAAUUUCGUAAUUAGGGCUUAGGGCUUGAUGUGGGGUAGAAUUAAAAAUGGCUUGUCAUCUUCAUGUUGCGACUGUAAGCUUCUGCGUAUAUGAAGCAAUGGGAUUUUAAGGGUUUGUUGAUCCAAUAAGAUAUGACUAUAGGGUUUCAAAACAGUACCUGGUUGGGUAUUUCUGUAGGGUUUGAUGGAAGUCAGUGGACUUCAUGUCACCAGGGGGCUGGCUAUAUGAGAACUUAAGAAAAAAAAGAAAAAAAAAGUUUAGGUAGAGACACCAAGAUUUCGUCAUCCAGAGGAUUGAAAAGCAACAAAUAAAAAGAAGCUUAGGGUUUAUGUACCCACUUGACGGAACAUGCCCACGUCGACAAUCAAUAGGAUUUUUUUAGUCUUCAAUUUUAUUUCCCAAGAGAACUUCUUUCUCAGUGAGUUGUUGGAUUAUACUGAAGCUUUAUUGAAUACAUAGAACAUGUUUUGAUCAAAAUUCUCUCUUUUGUUUGUUAUUUUACAUGGUAUGAGCAUGUUUUUGAUUGGUAAAUAGAUGCUGCUAGCUCUGAUCAUGGAUUAGCUUUUUUGCACAAGAGAUGCUGUUCACUAGGUAUUUGAUCUAAUCUUGUGCAGAAAUGGACAUUUCAUUUUGAUGGACUAUUACACAUGCAACAAUAUAUUAUAUAAUGGGUUGCAUUAACCAUUGAAGAAAUUGACCCUAGGUAUUGAUUGGUUGCAGUACACUUAAUUGAACAUGAUAGAACCAAAAUUAUCACAAAGGUCCAAACCAUGAUGGGAGGACUCUCAAUUCAUGGUAGUCCAUUAUUUUAGAAUACAAGGAGUGAGACUUCCAUGUAUAACACCUCUGUAUGUUGGGUAACUGCUAUCAAGAAUUUGAGAACUCUAACCUCCAAGUCGCCACACCAUUUUUGUAAGAAACUUAUUAUGCCUUUUUUUGGUGCAAUCUAUUAGUUUGUGUUUAUUAAAUUUGAUUGGAGUCAUUCUGAUAAGUUGUUGUUAGGAUUAGGAGCACUAGGAUCCUUUCAAUUCAAUGCCAAUCUCACACACUCUCUCACUCGAAAUGAAUUCAAAUAAUAGAAAUAAGAAAACAUAAUAUGAUUUAUACAGACUUCCUUACAAGAUUAGGAAGUUGCCAAAGACUAUCUUAGGAAAGCUUUUGUCAUGAAACUAGGGUUCAUGACGGACUGAAAUGGACAAUCGGAAAGAUCCGAUUGAAUUAAGGUUAAGAGCAGAAUGUAUUAGAGGGAAAAUUGGAGAAGAAUGGGGGAGAAAUUAGAGAGAAAAUGAGGGAGAGCAGAAUAGAGAAAUGAGAGGGAGAUUGUAGAGAAAUUGUAGAGAGAGAAUCAGAUUUCAAUUAUCAAUUCAAGCAUAUCCUUCUCCUCUUACAAUUGACCUUUUUAUAGGCAUAGCUAGAUGUUUAACUAAUUUCUAACAAUAUCCUAACAGCACCCAUGUGCUUCUAACAACUUGUAAAAUAUCUCUAACUAACUAUUAUACUCUAUUACAAUAAUGCCCCUUUAUUACUUCUAAGGUCAUGACAGCUUUCUAAACCUAGAUUAGGAAAUAUACAUCUUUUAGGAUACAACAAAUUAAGGAAAUAUAUACUAAUAUAGAUCUAGAAGAUACAAUCCUAAUUUAGGAAAUAUAUACAAUCAUAAUUAAUCAAUCAAUCAACACUGAUCUUGCCCGAGAUUAGGACCUAAUUGUCGACACCCCCCCCCCCCUCCUUAGAUUGGGUGUGAAUAUCUUGCAUUCCAAUCUUGCUUAUCAUUCUUCUGAACAUGGCUGCAGGCAGGCCUUUGGUUAGCAUGUCUGCUAACUGAUCAUGUGAUGAAAUGUAGGGUGUGCAUACAAGUCCACCAUCCAAUUUUUCCUUUAUGAAGUGUUUGUCUAGUUCAACAUGCUUUGUCUGGUCAUGUAACUUGUGUUGAACUAGAUUAUGAGAGAUACUGAUUACCGACUUGUUAUCACAAUAGAGCUUCAUAGGUGUGGUUCAUUCAAUCAUGAGAUCAUUUAGUAAAAUUUUUAGCCACAAUAAUUCACACAUACCUAGAGCCAUGGAUCGAAAUUCCGCCUUAGCACUUGACCUAGCAACCACGUUUUGUUUUUUGCUUCUUCAUGUUACCAAAUUGCCUACCAACAUGGUACAAUAACCAGAAGUUGAUCUUCUAUCUACAACAGAUCCUGCAUAGUCAAUAUUUGUGUAUGCCUCAAGUGUCAUGGCUUCUCCUUUCUUGAAUAAAAUGCCCCUCCUAGGUGCUCCCUUUAGAUAGUGAAGUAUUCUGUACAUAGCUUUGAGAUGACUUUCUUUUGGGUAGUGCAUAAACUGAUUGACCACCCCUAACAACAUAGGCUAUAUCUGGCUGAAUAUGGGCCAGAUAUAUCAAUUUCCCUACUAGCCUCUGAUAAGCCCCUUUGUCAACCAUACUGUCCUCCAAAGCCUCUCCUAGCCUAUGAUUCAGGUUAAUAGGGGUUUCAACUGCCUUGCAACCUAGCAAUUCGGUUUCAUUUAGGAGAUCCACUGUAUAUUUUUGUUGGGAAAUGAAUAUGCCUUCUUUUGAAUGAGCCACCUCUAUUUCCAAAAAAUAUUUUAAUCUCCCCAAAUCUUUGAUCUCGAAUUCCUUCACCAAACACUCCUUCAGUUGGGUCAUACCUUCCUCAUUAUUGCUGGUAACAACAAUAUCAUCCACGCACACAAUAAGCACUGUCACUCCCCCUGUGAUUGAGUGUUGAAUAAAAAGUGUAUGGUCUCCUUGGUUUUGCCUAUAUCCCAUGCUAAUCAUUACGCUUGUAAAUCUGCCAAACCAAGCCCGUGAGGAUUGUUUCAGUCCAUACAAAGCCUUUUUUAGUUUGCAUACAAUUGGUUCUUGUGUGGUUGUCCCAUAACCUGGUGACAUUUCUAUAUAUACCUCCUCUAGAUUCCCAUGCAAAAAUGCAUUUUUGACAUCAAAUUGAUGCAGUUGCC